CAGCAGCAUCCGCCGCAACUGCGGCAUCGACAAUUUCUUUGUAAAAAGCUAUUACAUGUACCAUUAAGGCUUAGUUUUUCAUAGUUAACCUACCCAUUGAUUUCCUUUUGGCAUUUUGAUGCUAACCAACAUGAUGGAAGCCCAUAUAUUUUAUACAAAACGGUUUCCAUUUUAAAGCUGCAGAGUUUUGUUUUUACUUUUAGUCUACAACGCCAAGUGCGUUGGGCAUAUACAUACCAUAGAAAACGGACAACAACAACAACAACAAGAACAACAUUUAGAGCGGCUUGAAGAAAACAAUUCGCUAAUAUUUUGUCUUAAGGUUUUCUUCCCAAUAAUAUUUGUUGUACAUCUUUUUUACUUCCUACAGCUGGUAUUAAGGAGUGACUAGAGUACGGAUGAAGUAAAGAGUGUGUAAGAAGGAGAGAGAGAGAGAGAGAGUGAGACAGAGAAGGAGAGUGAAUAAUAUCAA
rnacentral:sRNA from 1 species